GCAAUAUAUUCACUUUAUAUCUACGCCUAGCGGCUAGUAUAUAAUAAACCACGGCGAGUUUGAAUAAUUCGUAUUAUUCGUUUUCGUUACCUCUCGAUUAGGGGAUGACAAGGGAAAAAACGAGUCUACAAACACCUAGUUAUCUUGUCUAUCCCGUAGCUUUCCAAAGCUUCGUUCAGAAUCGAUAAUCUUUAUGUAAUCCUUCACCUAAUAUUUACACAUACAUAUGUAUACGUUUCCAACUUUCCACCUAUAAACAGAUCCAUUUUUUAAAUAUUGUAACCGAAAAAUAAUAUAACGCGUAAUAUAAUAUAAUAAUAUCACGUCAAAUGGUUUAUUGGAGUGGAAAAAAAAUAAAUGAAACUCUAGGUAUGUCAUUAUCAUGCAUAACAAAA